rnacentral:rRNA from 1 species
CAAGCGUUGUCCGGAAUUAUUGGGCGCAAAGCGCGCGCAGGCGGCCUUUUAAGUCUGAUGUGAAAGCCCACGGCUCAACCGUGGAAGGUCAUUGGAAACUGAAAGGCUUGAGUACAGAAGAGGAAAGCGGAAUUCCACGUGUAGCGGUGAAAUGCGUAGAGAUGUGGAGGAACACCAGUGGCGAAGGCGGCUUUCUGGUCUGUAACUGACGCUGAGGCGCGAAAGCGUGGGGAGCAAACAGG